rnacentral:lncRNA from 1 species
GAGGGAACUAUGAAGGCUCGGUGUAGGCAGUAAUGAAGGCAUGCAGUUCAGGCCUAUGACCAAGUGGAGGUAACGGUUGAAAUUGAUGGAUCAGAGCAGCCUGGGCUUGAGCGUUUGGACAGAGAGAAUGUCAAAGCAGCUUUCUACAAACUCCCAAUCUGUCAAAGGGCAUUCCCUAGGUGCCUCAUGGGCUCAGUCAUAACCAGCCAAGGUCCCACCAGCACAGACUCCACCCUACCGAGGAAGAGCUGACUUCAAGUGGCAGCAAUUGUACAUGGGACCCUAUGGAGCAGAACCUCGAGCCUCGACCUUCACAUGAAGCACUAGGCCACUUUUUUAUGACAAGGCAUUUCUAGAAGCUUCUAGUUACUUGAUCCAAGGUCAACUUCUCCUGGUCAUGCCAUGUUUUAAUUUUCUUUCUACUGUCGUAAUAAACAGCAUGACCAAAAUCUACCUGUGGAGGAAAAGAUGCAUUUAGCUUAUAGACUGUAGUCCAUCACUGAGGGAAGUCAGAGAAGAAGUUCAAGGCACGAACCUGGAGGCAGGAACUGGGGCCAAGAGCACAGAGGUAUGCUGCUUAUGCUUGUUCUCCGUAGCUUUCCCACCCUGCUCUCUUAUAGAACCCAGGACUCUCAGCCCAGGAGUGUCACCACCAACAGUGGACUGAGGCUAGCGGCCCCCCACCCCCAUUAAUCAUUAAUCAAGAAAAUCUCUCCCACACAGAAUAGUCUACAGGCCGAUCUUUGUAAGCAUUAUCUCGAUUGAGGUUCCCUCUUCCCAAAUAAUUAUAGCUGGUGUCUAGUUUGUAGAGAGGGGAGGGGAGGCUAAUCAGCACACACCAGUAACUCAAAGAACUUUAGAAAUGUACUCUGAGAAAAUUUAAAUUCAUCUGGUCUAGGGAGCCUUUGGAACUCAGUUUCAACAGCUCCA